UGGCUCAGUUGGUAGAGCAUGGCGCUUGCAACACCAGGGUUGUGGGUUCGAGUCCCAC
rnacentral:tRNA from 1 species